AUUGAACGCUGGCGGCAGGCCUAACACAUGCAAGUCGAGCGGAUGAAGGGAGCUUGCUCCUGGAUUCAGCUGCGGACGGGUGAGUAAUGCCUAGGAAUCUGCCUGGUAGUUGGGGAUAACGUCCGGACACGGGCGCUAAUACCGCAUACGUCCUGAUGGAGAACGUGGGGGAUCUUCGGACCUCACGCUAUCAGAUGAGCCUAGGUCGGAUUAGCUAGUUGGUUGGGUAAAGGCCUACCAAGGCGACGAUCCGUAACUGGUCUGAGAGGAUGAUCAGUCACACUGGAACUGAGACACGGUCCAGGCUCCUACGGGAGGCAGCAGUAGGGAAUAUUGGACAAUGGGCGAAAGCCUGAUCCAGCCAUGCCGCGUGUGUGAAGAAGGUCUUCGGAUUGUAAAGCACUUUAAGUUGGGAGGAAGGGCAGUAAGUUAAUACCUUGCUGUUUUGACGGUACCAACAGAAUAAGCACCGGCUAACUUCGUG
rnacentral:rRNA from 1 species